rnacentral:pre_miRNA from 1 species
AAUAAGUACAGUCGUGGAUAUCCGUGCCCAAUGUUUAACCGUCCGUCUUAUUUAAAAAAUUUAUGAAAAAAUUGAAAAUAUUUAGUCACAUAUAAAGUACUAUUCAUGUUUAUCAUCUAAUAGCAAUAAAAAUACUAAUUAUAAAAAAAUUCAAAUAAGACGAACGGUCAAACGUUAAACGUGAAUAGUGCAAAACUGCACUUAUU